rnacentral:misc_RNA from 1 species
GAUGAACAACGCAGCGAAAUGCGAUAAGUAGUGUGAAUUGCAGAAUUCAGUGAAUCAUCGAAUCUUUGAACGCACAUUGCGCCCUGUGGUAUUCCGCAGGGCAUGCCUGUUCGAGCGUCAUUGACACCCUCAAGCUCUGCUUGGUCUUGGGCGUUUGUGCCUGCCGUUGCGCAGGGACUCGCCUCAAACUCAUUGGCAGCCUGCCUUUGCCGGUCUUUGCACAGCACAGUCGUGCCAAAGCCGCGGUGAGCAGGCGCUCCACAAGCCCUUUUCAGCUUGACCUCGGAUCAGGUAGGAAUACCCGCUGAACUUAAGCAUAUCAAUAAGCGGAGGA